AGCGAACGCUGGCGGCAGGCCUAACACAUGCAAGUCGAACGGACCCUUCGGGGUUAGUGGCGGACGGGUGAGUAACACGUGGGAACGUGCCUUUAGGUUCGGAAUAGCUCCUGGAAACGGGUGGUAAUGCCGAAUGUGCCCUUCGGGGGAAAGAUUUAUCGCCUUUAGAGCGGCCCGCGUCUGAUUAGCUUGUUGGUGGGGUAAUGGCCCACCAAGGCUACGAUCAGUAGCUGGUCUGAGAGGAUGACCAGCCACAUUGGGACUGAGACACGGCCCAAACUCCUACGGGAGGCAGCAGUGGGGAAUCUUGCGCAAUGGGCGAAAGCCUGACGCAGCCAUGCCGCGUGUAUGAUGAAGGUCUUAGGAUUGUAAAAUACUUUCACCGGUGAAGAUAAUGACUGUAGCCGGAGAAGAAGCCCGGCUAACUUCGUGCCAGCAGCCGCGGUAAUACGAAGGGGGCUAGCGUUGCUCGGAAUUACUGGGCGUAAAGGGAGCGUAGGCGGACAUUUAAGUC
rnacentral:rRNA from 1 species